AACCAGAAAACACUUAACCAAAAUCUAAAGCCUCCUCCGAAUUCUCUCAUGUCUCCCUCUCUCUCUCAUCUCCUCCACCCACUGCCCCCUCCCCCACCCGAUCAUCAAUCAGACAUUCAGACUUCAGUUCCUUUCUUCCUCAAUCAUAAAUCCACUUUCGAUUUCGAUCCGAUUCUUCUGGGGCGAAGUGUCGAACUCCCUAUCUUGAAUCUGCCUCUUCUAGAAGCACCAUGUGCUCAAGGCCAAGGAUGAGAAGGCCCUCCUCGUCUGUGCGAAGCCAGUCGCCGUCUUUGGGCUCAGAAACCUGGAGGUGAUCCCAUGGUGUCGGCUGGUGUUGAUAUUGUCCACUGGAGUGUUGAUAUUGUCCACUACAAUUUUCUUUAAUUUGAUUGCAGUAUGACUCAGUGUAUGCAUGAAUUGAAUGGCUGAGCUUUUUUAGCUUGAUAUAGCUAAUACAAGGUUUAAUUCUAUCUUCAGUAUGGCUGAGCUUUGAUUGCAUCAGUAUGACUUGGUUUUCGAUAUGUCCUUGUGAUUUCAUUUCGGUGACGGCGCUGGGUUUGGGCGACAGGGUUUAUGCUAAGAUUUCUAGGGUGGAGAUGGAGGAGCGUCCGCAGAGAUUGGAUGGAAUAGGACAAUCCCAAUCUGGAGGUCUCAUUUUGGAACCUAUUGAUGUUCUACUGCAAAGACGGGAGCAAAAGGCAUUUACAAGGGUAUGGUAAAUUACUGUCCUUCGUGUCAAAGCUCAAAGUGGCUUACAUUUAUCAAUAUCAUGCAGCCACUUCAAUGCAUGUCAAAGCUCAAAGGCACAUAUUUAAUAUAUAUGAUCUUGACAUAUAUAAUGACACGUAUUUAAUAUAUAUAAUCUAGACAUAUAUAAUAUCAUCAGUAUAGUCUGAUCGUAGGAGGACCUACUAGUUGAUCAUGUUGGUUUUCCUUAUAUGUUUGCCCACUUUGCUUUUCCUAUGUUCAUUUCCAUUGGGUAAAUUCAGCAUAUGGUUACCGCAUUUUUGAUUGCCAACGUGAAGAUUAUAUUUUCCUUAAGAAUGCUUUCAAUCGAUCAAGAUUAUAGCAUCUUUGUUGUUCAUAUCUUAUCCAGCCACAUUUCACAUUUGCUGUAAGUACACUUCCAGAUAAGAUCAUAAUGUUUAUACUCCAUCUUCUGGUUAACAUUUAUCUAUAUAUUUUCCAGGUUCGUUUUGCAACAAUUAUUUCCUGCGGAGGCUAGCAAUGAUUGGAAGGGGCCAAUAUGAUGCUGCCUAUGAUAUAGGUCAGUUAACUAUAUUUUUUCAGAAACAUAUAUUUACCCUGAAGACUGCAUUUUGUACUUCAGGUGAUACAAAAUUUUGGAUUGAGAUCUUGUGGGUCAGUCUCAGAAACUAAAUAGGCAAUAUCUUGUUGUAUUUCUGGUUAUGUUCAAAGUUUAGUAAUGUGUGUUGGAGUUGGUUUGUUUCUUUAGAAAGUGAAACUCAUGUGUGGAUUCAAAUGACUCUUGCUUGACAGGGAACUUGAUGUAUGCUCAUUCUUGGACAAGGAUUAUGUUGUAAUCUUAGUGAUAUUCCACCUUGAACAACAAUGUAUACUAGGAAUGUAAAGAACAUCUUACUAUGAAUGUAAAGUUUAUUCAUGUUCGAUUGAGUUGUGGAUUUGUUCAUUUGAUUGUAAAUAUUUGAAGUGAAUUUAUUGUACAGAAAUCAAAACUAUUAUUAUGUUUGGGUUGCAAAUUAA